rnacentral:rRNA from 1 species
GACGAACGCUGGCGGCGUGCUUAACACAUGCAAGUCGAACGGAAAGGCUCCAGCUUUCUGGCGUACUCGAGUGGCGAACGGGUGAGUAACACGUGGGUAAUCUGCCCUUCACUCUGGGAUAAGCCUGGGAAACUGGGUCUAAUACUGGAUAUGACCUUUCUCCUUAUGGGGUUUGGUGGAAAGUUUUUCGGUGUAGGAUGAGCCCGCGGCCUAUCAGCUUGUUGGUGGGGUGAUGGCCUACCAAGGCGACGGCGGGUAGCCCGCCUGAGGGGGUGAUCGGCCGCAUUGGGACUGAGAGAAGGCCCAGACUCCGAAGGGAGGGAGCAGGGGGGAAUAUUGCACGAGGGGCGGCAGCCUGAUGCAGCGAGGCCGCGUGAGGGAUGACGGCCUUCGGGUUGAAAACCUCUUUCAGCAGGGACGAAGCGUAAGUGACGGGACCUGCAGAAGAAGCACCGGCUAACUAUGUGC